rnacentral:rRNA from 1 species
GACGAACGCUGGCGGCGUGCCUAAUACAUGCAAGUCGAACGAGAGCACCCGGUGCUUGCACUGGUCAAUCUAGUGGCGAACGGGUGAGUAACACGUGGGUAACCUGCCCAUCAGAGGGGGAUAACAUCCGGAAACGGAUGCUAAAGCCGCAUAGGUCUUCGAACCGCAUGGUUUGAAGAGGAAAAGAGGCGCAAGCUUCUGCUGAUGGAUGGACCCGCGGUGCAUUAGCUAGUUGGUGAGGUAACGGCUCACCAAGGCCGUGAUGCAUAGCCGACCUGAGAGGGUGAUCGGCCACAUUGGGACUGAGACACGGCCCAAACUCCUACGGGAGGCAGCAGUAGGGAAUCUUCCGCAAUGGACGCAAGUCUGACGGAGCAACGCCGCGUGAGUGAAGAAGGUUUUCGGAUCGUAAAACUCUGUUGUUAGAGAAGAACAAGUGCUAGAGUAACUGUUAGCGCCUUGACGGUAUCUAACCAGAAAGCCACGGCUAACUACGUG